rnacentral:lncRNA from 1 species
GGUUUGGUCGGUUGUAGUGGCCUCGCCGCCCGGUCCGCUGUCGCAGCGCUCAUCCGCGCCGGGAGCCCUUGGCUGCGUCGCCCGGCAGCCGCGGCUGGAGUGUAGUGGCGCAAUCUUGGAUCACCACAACCUCCGUCUCCCAGGUUCAAGCGAUUCUCCCGCCUCAGCCUCCUGAGUAGCAAUUACAGGUAAAGGUUGUGGCCAGAAAGCACGGGCAGCCUGGGACUCCUGUUGCCAUAGCAACCCAGCUACCGCCGAGGACUUCUGCGGCUUUUCCAGCCCAGCAGCAGCCGCUCCAGGUACUUUCUGAUGGCUCCACAGUGCAGCUCCCCAGACUUUCCUCACUCGGAUUUGAGGACUCGAUGUGCUGAGGCAGGACCCAGAGGGGUCCCAAGAGCCUGUCCUCUUUUGUUCAAAAUACAUCUUGAAACGUCUUUGUGAAGGCUCUUAGUUUUAAUGCAUGGAUGCUGUUAUUUUUCCCUACUGUUACUGAAAUUAAAAAGUGUUUGUCUC